rnacentral:hammerhead_ribozyme from 1 species
AUCCAGCUGACGGGUCCCAAAUAGGACGAAACGCGCGUCGAACUGGAU